UACGGAGGAUGCAAGCGUUAUCCGGAAUGAUUGGGCGUAAAGCGUCCGCAGGUGGCUAUGCAAGUCUGCUGUUAAAGAGUGAGGCUCAACCUCAUAAGAGCAGUGGAAACUACAUGGCUAGAGUGCGUUCGGGGCAGAGGGAAUUCCUGGUGUAGCGGUGAAAUGCGCAGAGAUCAGGAAGAACACCGGUGGCGAAAGCGCUCUGCUAGGCCGCAACUGACACUGAGGGACGAAAGCUAGGGGAGCGAACAGG
rnacentral:rRNA from 1 species